GGGCUGGUAGCUCAACGGUAGAGCAGUGGCCUUUUAAGCCAUUGGUUCUGGGUUCGAAUCCCAGUCGGCCCACCA
rnacentral:tRNA from 1 species